AGCCGCUAUGGUGAAAUCGGUAGACACGCUGCUCUUAGGAAGCAGUGCUAGAGCAUUUCGGUUCGAGUCCGAGUGGCGCCAUGCCAUCUUCU
rnacentral:tRNA from 1 species